GGGACGAAGCGCAAGUGACGGUACCUGCAGAAGAAGCACCGGCUAACUACGUGCCAGCAGCCGCGGUAAUACGUAGGGUGCAAGCGUUGUCCGGAAUUACUGGGCGUAAAGAGUUCGUAGGCGGUUUGUCGCGUCGUUUGUGAAAACCAGCAGCUCAACUGCUGGCUUGCAGGCGAUACGGGCAGACUUGAGUACUGCAGGGGAGACUGGAAUUCCUGGUGUAGCGGUGAAAUGCGCAGAUAUCAGGAGGAACACCGGUGGCGAAGGCGGGUCUCUGGGCAGUAACUGACGCUGAGGAACGAAAGCGUGGGUAGCGAACAGGAUUAGAUACCCUG
rnacentral:rRNA from 1 species